rnacentral:rRNA from 1 species
GCCAGCAGCCAUAUCACUCUGCAACUCACAACUAGCAACCCACUGAAGCUAAGCAGGUGUGGGCCUGGUCAGUACCUGGAUGGGAGACCUCCUGGGAAAAACUAAGGUUGCUGCUGGAA